AGCGAACGCUGGCGGCAGGCCUAACACAUGCAAGUCGAACGAACCCUUCGGGGUUAGUGGCGGACGGGUGGGUAACACGUGGGAACGUGCCUUUAGGUUCGGAAUAACUCAGGGAAACUUGUGCUAAUACCGAAUGUGCCCUUCGGGGGAAAGAUUUAUCGCCUUUAGAGCGGCCCGCGUCUGAUUAGCUAGUUGGUGAGGUAAUGGCUCACCAAGGCUACGAUCAGUAGCUGGUCUGAGAGGGUGACCAGCCACAUUGGGACUGAGACACGGCCCAAACUCCUACGGGAGGCAGCAGUGGGGAAUCUUGCGCAAUGGGCGAAAGCCUGACGCAGCCAUGCCGCGUGAAUGAUGAAGGUCUUAGGAUUGUAAAAUUCUUUCACCGGGGACGAUAAUGACGGUACCCGGAGAAGAAGCCCCGGCUAACUUCGUGCCAGCCGCCGCAGUAAAAC
rnacentral:rRNA from 1 species